UACGGAGGGCGCGAGCGUUGUUCGGAAUCACUGGGCGUAAAGCGCGCGCAGGCGGAUGUGCAAGUCGGAAGUGAAAUCCCGGGGCUCAACUCCGGGGCUGCUUCCGAUACUGCUCGUCUGGAGACCAGUAGAGGUGGGUGGAAUUCCCGGUGUAGCGGUGGAAUGCGUAGAUAUCGGGAAGAACACCUGUGGCGAAGGCGGCCCACUGGGCUGGAUCUGACGCUGAGGCGCGAAAGCGUGGGGAGCAAACAGG
rnacentral:rRNA from 1 species